CGCGGAGCCGCCCGCGCCCGCGGGAGCCCCCGCCCCGCCCCCGCCCCGCCUCCGCCCCCCGGGGCCGUGCGGACACUCGUGGCGCGCGUGAGGGGGGCGCUCGCGCGGGGGUGGGGGGGAAGGAGAGGGGGCGCCGCCUCGCGCGCGUGGGGGAGGGCGCGGAUCCACCCUGAGGUGAUCUCCCUCCUGGCCUAUGAAGGGGCUGGGGAUCUACUCUGAGGCGACCUCUCAGGCGAUCUACUCCGGGGUGACCUCCUUGAGGUGAUCUACUCCGACGUGACUUACUCUGAGGUGAUCUACUCUGAGGCGAUCUACUCUGAGGUGACCUCCUUGAGGCAAUCUACCCUGGGGUGACCUCCCUCAGGCGACCUCCCUCAGGCGACCUACUCUGAGGUGACCUACUCUGAGGUGACCUCCCUCAGGUGACCUACUCUGAGGUGAUCUACUCUGAGGUGAUCUACUCUGAGGUGACCUCCCUCAGGUGACCUAGUCUGAGGUGACCUCCCUGAGGUGAUCUACUCCAAGGUGACCUCCCCCGGGUGAUCUACUCUGAGGUGAUCUACUCUCAGGUGACCUCCCUCAGGUGACCUAGCCUGAGGUGACCUCCCUGCAGUGAUCUACUCCAAGGUGACCUUCCCCGGGUGAUCUGCUCUGAGGUGAUCUACUGAGGUGACCUCCCUGAGGUGAUCUACUCCAAGGUGACCUCCCCCGGGUGAUCUACUCUGAGGUGAUCUACUCUCAGGUGACCUCCCUCAGGUGACCUAGCCUGAGGUGACCUCCCUGCAGUGAUCUACUCCAAGGUGACCUCCCCUGGGUGAUCUGCUCUGAGGUGAUCUACUCUGAGGUGACCUCCCUCAGGUGACCUACUCUGAGGUGACCUCCCUCAGGUGAUCUAGUCUGAGGUGAGCUCCGUGCUGGCCGUGUGGCAGGGUCCGAGGCUCGCCCGCGAGGUGUCCGGUCGGCCCGCGCCGGGCUGUGUCACGGGGGGUGGGGGGGUGGCGGUGGGCAGCGCAGUCACGGCCUCUAGCGCUUCGUUGUGCACGGGUGUGCAAAACGGUGAGCGACGGGCAAGGUAAGGCACUUCAGUGGUGACCCCCAUGUACAUUUCCUGGGAGAAGUGGGAGCCAAGUUAUGUUGAAAAAUACUCAAAAACACCCCCCCCCAACAGUCAAUUGAUAAUUGGUAGCAGAAGUGUCUCGAAGGCGAUCAAAAAGAUAGUUGCUCGUUUCCUACAGAUGGUCUCGUCUUCUAAACAGUAGAUCAGAGCCUAGAUGCCUGACUUCUUAUUUUGGCCCUGCUUCUGACUCCGUCUGACCCUUGGAUGGGUCAUUUUUAUUUACUUCUGCUGCACGUUCCACUAAGACCAAAAUUAAGUAAAUUGGCAAAAAAAAAAAAUAAAAAGUAAUGUUUGUAAAACAUUUUUAAGGUUCCUGGGUACGUGAGUGAAUUUUAGUUUAAAAGUAGCACGUCCUUUUCACGUGCAGGCAAAACUGGCUCUGUAGAAAAAAACAAAUGCACAAUUUUGGCCUGGAUUGAGUGUGAACAGUGGAGCUGAACGCCUCGGGAAAGUCGCGUUUACCGUGGGAAUAAGUGUAAUGGCCUUAAGUAGAGUUGUAUUGUAAAAAAGGUUUCUGAGUAAUAUAAAUAUUUUUCCUUCACUUUCAUCCAAAUGAAAGACUUGUGCAAUAAAGUUUAGCUUUGUUUUUGUUCGCUUGUAUAACAUUAAAAAAAUGCUUCUUAAAAUGAAUGAUACAUAUACAUCCUCUAUAGGUGAGAUCACACCAAUAUUUUGAAGAAAAUACACAUGGAAAUGUUUCCAUUUCUAUCUGUUUAUCUAUCUAGGAAUCAAUAUAUCUAUGGGGGGUGGACAAACUAAUAUAUAUAUAUAGCUCCCCCCGCCCAAUCCUCCAUAAGUUGAAAAUCAGAGUACAUAUUUAUGGAUUUGGCAUUGUUUCUCCCAGCAGAGAAAAAGCGCCCAAACACGAGAGCCACGCUUCACAACUGUUAAUGCAUUUCAGAUGAUUGUCGUGGGUAGAUACAGUUUUGUAAACAAAUUACAUUUUUGUGUCAUCACUGUAACGUGGUUUGUGUGAUAUCGAUCCCUUUUACAACACAAGAGAAGACUUAAAAUAACAUAUGCGUGAUUAUAUUGUUUAAAUUAAUAAAGACAUAAUUUUGUUCUCUUCGUAAUGCGGAAAGAUAGUGUUUAUUUCAAGUGAUUACAAAAUACCACCUUAACAGGGCUAUUUCAGUAGGCAUUUCCCUGAAUAUGAUUGCCAGAUCCAUCUUACGUUAGAUAUAUUGUUAUCAACCUCAAAGUAUUGCUUUCUUAUGAGUUUUAUGGGAUCUUGCAGGUUUAGAGAAACUAAGCAUGGGGUGUGACCAGAGUCCUUGUAUAGUAAUGACAGGAAGUUGAGCCAAUCAUUAAUUUAUUUUCUGUGGGAAGGUGAAAAUACUCCAAAAUUUCUAUUGGUAUGCCAUUGUUUUCCAAAUACAGUGAACAGUUAAUACUGUGGGUGCAAGAGUCUUUGCUGAUAAACAUUUCACCCAGUGUGUAACCUGUGCCUCUACUUCAUCUGUAUGAUUGCCCAUAUUAUUGUAUUUUUCCUUAGCUACAGAGGAAUCUGUCAGUAACUACAUGGGCAGAGGAUAACAAAUACUAAUUAAUGUCUAAAAAUUGAUUCUAGCAGCCUGGUUUCCCCUGCUGUGCUCCAAAACUCUCGAGUGCACUCCUUGUUUCUUUAAUUUUGUGAAGUAUGUGUGCUUUCAGUUGCUGCUUAAACCUAAUAGAUCUUUACUGUGCCUGCAGCAGUGAGUUCAGGUCUCCUGGCCUCUUAAAAGUCCAGUGCUUAAAAUCUUUUGGAAGAAGAAAAAAGGGAAGGGGUAGUGAGGACGAUGGCUGGAGGCUAGUGUUAAUGGCUUUCACCCUUGUGUCUAUCUAUCCUAGGUUACCCAGGAGUGAGAAAGAUUAGAUCUAGAUCCAAGCUUCAGGUUUGUUCUGAUUUGGUGCUUUGUCCAGAAUUGUGUUUUGUAAUAAAUAAAAUGACCUGAGUUAUAUUAGUUCACGACAAAUGAGAAAUAUGUCUUUUUUUUUCUUUUUUCUUUUUUUUACUCCUAAGACUCCUGGGACCUGCAGAUACAUGGUGGUAGUUGUACAUGAACAAUUCCCUUUGAUUUCAUUGCAAGUUGUUUGCAAACACUGGCUGCAUAACCAGAUCUCUAGUAUUCCAAAUUAUGUUAAAAAAAUUAUGUUUGGAGUAAUAGCUAAUAUAAACAGGGAAACUCAGACAAGAAGUGACAGAGGAGCUUGUUCACAGCAGUACAAACCAAGUUGUGUCGUGGCAAUUUUUUGCUAGUUCAAAGAAACAAGCAGCAUAGAAAUAUCCAUAUAAAAAUAACACUGCGACUGAUAAUGGACCAGCUUGUUGUUGUCUUCCAACCAACUAUUCAGUGCAUGAGCAGAAUCAUGGGCUGAAUCAAGAAAAAUGAGUGUACUCAUAGUGGAGAGCAUACUGAGCCUGAGUAGUGGAAUGGAAAGGAAUUGAGUCAGGAAAUUAAACUUUACUCUGAAAAGUCUAUGAAAAGGCUUUACUCUCUGCGAUAUAAAGAAAGCAAAAUGAAAAUCCAUCUAGUGCAAAAAGAAUAAAAUCUGAUACAAAUUUGGAGUCAUCUUGCGCACAAGAGUAACAGGAAGGAUCGUUUCAGGUCAGUCCUAUUUUUUAUUCUAUCGCAGGCUUCCUAUUUACCCUUAGGGGAAAGUUAAGCUCUGUGCCUCAUUUUCCCCCAGAUGUGAAAUGGGAUAACAACUGCCCAGGGGAGUGGCAAAGGUAAUUCAGUAAUGCAUAUGGAGUAUUUUGAGACAUGGGGUGGAAAGAUUUAUUAAUGCAAACUAUUAUUAAAUACAUGUAACCCCAAAACAACAGGUAAAACAUCUCUUUAAUGGUAGGGACUAGCCGAGAAACUGCUUUUUGCAAUAUAAUGUGCAGAAAGUUUCCAUUUUACACCAAAGAUUGCAACAAAAAAGUUACUUCCUCAUAUUGCCUUUGCUAGUGUAUACUUGUGAUAAUGUUUCCUGUGAGCACAUAGUCUGUAAAGUGUAUUAAGUGUACCUGGGUCUUCACAAUCUAACAAGAGUGCGAACUGAGGUUUAGCAAUCGCUUUACUGGGACAUGGGCACUGUACUGUUGGAUUUUGUGCAGGGUUUGCAGUACUUCUGCCACACCUUGCCAAACCCGGAGCAAGGCAGUCUCUUACUCCAGUGUCAGAGCAUGAUUUGGUGUGCCUUGCAUAAUAGCAUCUCAGCUUGCCACCAGGAGAGAGAUCCAGUUUUCUGUUACUCAGCGAUGCUGGACUGAAUAUACAGCAUAAAGCGAUAGUGUCAUACAUACUAGCUUCUCAGUCUGAGGCUGCUCCCAUUCAUUCUCUUUAAUAUGCAACUCAUGCUGCCUCUGGCUGCUGUGUUAUGGGUCCCCCAAGUUUUUUAAUGUAGAUUGGAUGUCGCCUUUUUAUUUGUAUAUCAGGGAUAAUAAUGCAGGAACAUCUGACCUCAACAGGAAAAAGGAAGAAAUCGAGUACCAGCAAUUUUUUCCAAGCUCGAACAAUGCAUCGGUGAUCUACUGUAACCUGUAUGUCACUUCUCAAACGGAGUCUAAAAUGUUGUUUGUCUAUAUGCAAAUAUACUUCAGUUUAUUUCUGCAGAACUGAUUAUUCUAAAUACAGUCUGUGUACUGUAGAUUUGACUUGGCAGAUGGAAGGUACAUUGCACUUUUUGUGCAGGGAUUUCUUAAGAAUAUUUAUUUGGUUUGUCCUAUAAUGUUUCUUUGGCAGUCAAGUCCGUCUUAACUAUUAGGUGCCAAAUACACAUAUGUCUUUGUUCUGAAAGAGUUGUUUUUUUAGCACAAGGGAUCAUGCAAUGAUUGUAGACCAGUCCCUUUUCUAUAGCAGAGAUCAUAGACCAAACAUUUUUCCAUACAAAAGUUAACAAGUAGUUUCUUUCUGUAGCCAAUUGUAGCUCAGCUUCUAGCGCAUCAUAUAUGUUUUUGUAGCUAGCUUCUGUUCAAAAAAAUGUUCUUCCUCUUGCUUUACAUACACCCAUCCUCUUAGUUUUGCCUGGGAUCCACGUUCAUAUUUCUUUGUUGAAAGUCAUGCAGUUAACAUUGCAACGAUGAAAAAGUAGGAAGUAGUUUAAAUGCAAGAUGUUUAUUCAUAUAUUUAGUUAUUAAGUGUGUGAUAUCAGAAUAAUCUAUCACACUUUUAUUGGUGAUGUUAAAAAAAGAAAGCUUUAAGGACUACCACAAUUGUCCGGGAUAAUCUGCACAAACCAGUCGUACCACUACACCCACUAGUUUCUGCAUCAGACCCAUCUCUUUUCUAUGAUACAUGGCAAUCUUUUAGAAAUAUAACUAGUCUGGGCUUAAAGACUUUGUGACAGAGACUUCAGGUCUUCCAAUCGUUUUAUUUUGCAUUUGAUUCAGCCUGAGGUAUGUUGAUUUAAUUCUUUAGCAUCCCUUGUCCAGAGCAGUUGAGUAUGGGAUUGCAGAAGAGCAAAAAAUGUUCAUAUUCUUAAAGAAAUAUUUCAAUCUAUUAAUAAAAAGGUACAUAUUUUCAAAGAAAAGGUUUCUUUGUAAAACAUGAAAAAUUGUGUUAGGCAGUUAAGGGUAGAAUUCAGUCUGUUCUUGUAGUUAAAAUCAUCAUUUUGAGCAAAUUCAUUCUUCAGUAGUUGCCAGAUUUUUAUUUUAGCACUGCAUUUCCUCAUGUCCAGAAGCUGCUACUGAGUUGUGCAUUUAACCUAUGCAAAAGACUGGCCAUUUAAACACAUCAGCUUGUACCUGUAAUUUACCAAAAUUCCAGUGGUGUCAACAAAAUAGUGAAAACAAACCAAAAAAAAUCUGGCUCUGAUUUCUUUGGGCCGUUACAAAGUCUUUGUGAUAAACUGAAAUAGCCAAAUUUGAAUAUACAAAAUUAAGUUGGCAGUAAAAGGCUUGAGGAGCUUACUAGAAUUUGGUUCUUAAUGAAGACAGCCGAAGAACUUGGACAACAACGCAAAACUGGGUAAAUGAGGGGUAGGAAGUCUGACUGCAUUCCUAGAACCGUUUUAAAGUUCACAGUUGCACAUAUUGAGGUCAAUAAACAAAACCCAUUUUCUACAAUGAUUUGAAUGAAUGAAGUAUGGUGGUUUGAAUUUUUUUCCUUUGGCCAACACAGAAGCAGUGAACAUAGCCAAAACCUUAAUAUUUAACAAGCCCUGGACAAAAAGUGAUUACCAGUAUUUGCUGAUUUGAGUCCCACCCCUUCCGAAAAGAAUUGUAUGUUAUUUUUCACACUUGACGAUUAGUUUUGAUCUAGCAGUUCUCAGGAAAGCAGGCUAGGAUCUUUAGUUUCCCUGAAAACAAGGGCCAUCAGCCACAGAAAGAGAAAGUGACUGCACUAAACUUGCCUUAGUGGCUAUGAGGGCUUUCAAGUCUGGCAGUUUAAGUAGUGAAGAUGAAAGUGAGGACAGUUCUUGGGCAGGGGACUGCAGGAGGAAUGUGAUUCAUAGGACAUAGUUACUACUGUAAUUACAAGUGCAGCUGCUAAAGUAACUUCUGCCAGUACUAAAAAAAUCAAUGUCAUGUCCAGUAAUCUGUUGCUUGCAGUGCAAGUGAUAAAGAUGGGAACAGAAGUAGCACAAUAUUUUUUUCCAGUUACCAGCUCUGGACUUGUGUACUGUACAGCUCUGUUUCCACCUGGUCUGAAAUGGAUGCCAACACUUUACUUUUGUAAAGUGUACAGGACUUUUAGGUGUUCAGAGUGGAACAAAACCAUGUGAUUAAAACUGGCUGUUUUUUUUCUUAAACAGUAAAUUUGCCUCUGCUCCUCCCUCCCUACCCCCCCAGAAAAAAGGGAGAAAAGAAGUGAUUUCUAAGUGACUGCAACUUUGUGAAGCCAGGUCCAAUUUAGUAAUUUAAUCUAAAAAAAAAUUAAAUGUGUCAAUUUCUAAAAACAACAUCAAUAUAUUUCAUUACAGUAUUUUAAAAUCAACUUUAAAGGGUUUUUAAAGAAGGUAAAUAUCCUUAAAAUCAAAUGAAACACAUCUCUUUAGGUUUCAGUCAAAAUUCCAAGAAACUUUCAGUUUGCCUCAAGCCAAAGCAUCUCUUACUUCCCCUGUGCUUAAUUGUCAUUUCACUCACAAACAAAAAAGCCCGCAUGUUUGCCCAGCUGUAUAUAACCUAAAAGUCAAAAUUUCCUAACUAAAAACAUAGCUAAGACUAUCUUUCAUAAUUAACACAGCAUUCAUCUACAACUCUUAAGUGAAAUACCUGUUCUUACCCCUUGUUGAAGUGACUUGCAGCAGGUCACAUAGUGGGUUAGUGUCAGGCAGCUCUAGGGUUUGGCAGCAGAAUCGAUUUCCAUAGUCGUGGAGUCUGCACCUGCAUUAGCAAUCCAAGCGUCACCUGAGCAAUAACAGGAACGACUUUGCUUUGCCACAUAAGCAAACAUUUGUGUUGCUUAAUUGUAGCAUGACGUUAAAAAAGCUGUUCUCCCUCAUUUUGUUCAUUCCUUUCUUCCUCCUCUUCAAAGGAGAUCACAUUUCAGUUUCUCUUAAGAAGAGUGAGAAUGAGUUACAAACUUUUGUUUUUCCUGGUCUUUGUUUCUAGAAGAUAAGGAAGAUGCAUCAUUCCUGUCAUUCAUUCUUUUCCGAUGGGAAGAUGUGUUUUGACGUACGUUCUGCCUUGGUACUUGAGCAAAGCCUUUGGUGGUGUGCUCUGUGAAAGGGAUACUCUAAAUGGAGAGUCAGCUGAAUAAGAUACCUCUCAUGACACAUGGAUGGUCAACAUGAAGUUGCUUUUUACAUAGAUAGUUGGAAUUGCCUUCAAACAAACAAGCAGCCAGGAUCAGCUGACAUGAUCUUUCAGGCAUUCUGUGGAUACUAUUCAUGGCUCAUUCACACUUUGUGCAGAUUUGGAAAUGCCUGUCGCCAUCUCGUGUGGUCCUCAAGUCCCCGUGUUUGACGGCAUGAAAGAAAAAGAGGUCAAGGAUUUGUUGGGGUUGGAGGCCACAUGACACAUCUUCUAUUGGUUGUAUGCCUAAUUAUGCAACUAAAGAGAUCCCUUCUUCAGGCAGUUGGGAAGAAAAGAACUGGCGAGAAAAGCUAAUUUCAUAGAUGUGCUGAAAUCCUGACUAGUGCUUGAACAAGAAGGUAUUUUUUAAUUGAAAUAAAGAGACUCUGCAGAAAAGACAUGCAGAUUGUAGUCCAGAAACUUCUGCUAAAACAGAAACUGGAGAUUAAAGUGUUAGGAUUUUUAAAAGGUGAAAUGGUGGUAGGUUGAACAAGAAAUCCAAGUGGAACUCAACAAGGCGGCAUCCUGGUGUGUGUGCACUAAAGCUGUAGCGGGGAAGUAGUCUAUUAUCUGGGGUAGGAAGAGUGGGCUGAUGUCAAACAAGUUAACGAACAUGGGCAAGGCCCCAGUCUUGUUCCUGCUGAAGUCGCUUGGAGUUUAACUGUGGUGAUUAAAAACCCUCUGUUUCAAUUUAGGGGCUUCCAUCACUGUUAAGGUGAAGGGCCCAAUCCCUUUUUUUUCAUUUUGUGGAGUCUGCCAGCAUCUCCCUCAGCUGGGGGGUGAGCUGCCUGUGGCCCCUGAGCAGCAGGAGGCCCCAGACCUUCUCUCCACGGUGAUGACACCCCUUGGGGCCACCCACGCAGGUGGCUAGUGGGCAGGUGCUGCCCCAGCUCACAGGCAGCACCCAGCCCAAUCCAACUGUUCUCCGAGCCUGAGCUGGGGCAGCUUCCCCACAGGUGUACAGUGUGACACAAUCAAACAGCAAAAAUGGCCAAUUUUCAUCACAUGUACAAGUGCUUCCGGACCAUAGUGGGCCUCCCAGGACACCAGGACUGUUCCAGGACCGUAGUCCUCUAAUUAUCAUAAGCCUACUUUUAAUUUCCAGCCUAAACUUUAUUCCCAGCCAGUUUAUACCCAUUUGUUCUUGACCCAGCAUAGUCCUUUGGUUUAAAUAGCUUUUCUCCCUCUCUGGUGUCCCUCUGUAUCUCCAUGUAUUUAGAGAACAAGCCUACCCCUUCUCAACCGUUCUUUUGCUCAGGGCCACAAGCCAAGAUUUCAGCAUUCUUCCUAAAACAGACUCUAUUUCCCUGGUCAUCUUAGUAGCCCUCCUCUGUUCCUGUCGCAGUGUGAAUUAGUCUUUCUUGAACAAGGAUGACUUGUGCAAUCUACAUCAAUUUGUGUCUCGCUUGUGACAACGGGGGACUCAGGUUCUGUUGUUCGAUACUAUACUUCACAGGCAACAUGAAAACACAGAAGUGUAAGUGUCUCAGAAUGGCACAUCAAGGCAAAGCAAACAGCACACAGACCAAGUGGCUAGAAUCCAAACCCUCCCAUCACAGAUUGUUGUGACAGGUGAGAGGCAAACCAUGCCAGGGCUAAGCCUGACACAGUCUUGCAAUGGCUUGCUACCAAAUUAAAAGAAUUCCAGGAUGGACAUCGUCACAUGGUGUAUAAAGUCCUGACAGAGAGAGGGAGGACUUGCUCUAGUUAAUAAACCAUUAUCCAUUUCAAGUACAGUGGCUCUGUUGUAACUGUCCUGGAAAAAUAAUAACCCCUUUUUCAUUUUAUCUUUGCUCAUUUAGACCUGACAAAAGCAGACCGCUAGACUUAAUACUAGGUAUUAAAAACUGAACUUUAAAUAUUUGAAGAAAGGAUUUGUCAUUUUCUGAGCCUAAGAGAAUCCUGCCCCAAACAGAAACCAACAGACCAUCUACACAGUUCUGACCAAAUACACCAUUUUACAUGAUGCCCUUCCAUCUCACCCCCAGCAAAAAUUCUUCAUUCCCAUCUCAGUACUGGGUGUGUCUACACAUGCAUUAAUGUGCUUAGUUAAUGCGCAUUAAAUCUAGUACCUCUGGACUCCUAUACAUGUGCACAGAGCCUGCUCUGAUGCAUUAGAAAUUCAGUGCAUUGGAGAAGACUUGAUUAAUCAAGUCAGCAGGGGCACAAAACUUGACACACUCAAGGAGCCUUCCACGUCACAUGUAUCAGCAUCACUGUGUGUCUCCUCGCUGAAGGAAUGGCGGUGGGGCACUUCGAAAUAAAGCAUGUUCCAUAAGCUCUAGUUCAAAGCGCCCCACUGCCAUUUUUUCAGCAUGGGGAUGCUGAUACACAUGACAUGGGUGCUUUUAAUUAGCACAGUUUGUUAAUUAAAGCGCCUGGCACUGGGUCCCACACCACAUGUAAAAAUGCCCUCCAUUGUCAGGUAUUCUACUAUGUAGGAAAAUGCGCAUUAGCCUGUCUUAAAGAGUACAGUUUUUCAAUGAUACCUUAAUGCGCAUUACAAUGUGCUAAUGUGCAUUUCACAGAUACUUGGGCUGGAAGGGACCUCGGCAGAUCAUCAAGUCCAGCCCCCCGCCAGAAGGCAGGAAGUCAGCUGGGGUCAUAGGAUCCCAGCAGGAUAAACAUCCAAUUUCUUCUUGAAGGUGUUCAAAGUAGCUGCUUGAUCCACCUCCAGUGGCAGGCUAUUCCAGACCUUGGGGGCUCGGACAGUAAAGAAGUUCUUCCUUAUGUCCAGCCUGAGAUGGUCUUGCAGGAGUUUAUAACCGUUUGAACUUGUCAUCCCUUGGGGGGCUCUGGGAGGAGCUCCAGGCCAGAGUCCAGAGACUGAGACUGCGUGCAUUAAAACACCUGUGUCAAUGAGCCCAAUUUAGUCUAAAUUUACAUAAUUGAAAGUCUGAGUAUUUUGUUCUGGGAAGGAAAGCCCAAACAAAAUUUAGGAAAACGAACAAAUCAAGUAUCCUGUACAAAAUAUUCACAACACGCCCUCACCCAUGCAGAAUGCAAUAAAUAAAGUAUAACUUCAGCAUUGCAAAUAAUAAAAUAAAACUUCAGCAUUGCACAAACAGCACUGCAAAUUCAUUGCUUGCUUAGCUACAGAUCUGGUACGUGGUUAAUCAUGCACAACGCAUUUUUGGGCAUGUAAUGUUGAUGCAAAGUUUUGAUAAUUUGGCCUUGCAUGUUUAUAGUGUCAUUAGUGGUAGGGUCAGUUCCACCCUCUCCACCCGAUAACACCUGUUCUGAAUAUCUGCAUUUACUAAGGCUUCAGCGUGCAUGCUGAAUGAAACUUAAUACACAAACUUUGGAUCGUGCUUGGAAAUAAACUAGACACAUGCUCAGCAGCUCAGAAACACUCUUACUACUUUUAUGUGACUUGACUCAGACUUUGAAAUUUCCCAGGGGUUGCAACAUCCUGUGUAUGUUUAAAAGCAAAAUAGAAAAUUGAAAUGGAAUGAAACACAUUCCUCACCCUGUCCUUCAAAGUCUAUGAAUAUCACUUUGGACUAUCCAGAAAUCAGUUGUAUUUUUUUUUUCUUUAUUACAUAUAGUUUUCCUUUUUUAAACAAAUUUUAAAUUUAAACUUUUCCUGUUUGUUUGAAAUAUUUUAUUUUACAUAAAAAUUGGGUGAUGGUAGGAUCAAAGCUGUAAGACUGGAAAUGCAUAAAGAAUGAGGUUCAAAAACUAUUAAAUAUUGUUAAGUUCCCCUGUUAGUUUACUUCCAGAAAACAUGGCAGGUUGAAGAAAAUGACUUGAUAUUCAAUUUAAACACUGCUUUUCAAGUUGUCCACAGAAAUGUUAUAUGUGCAUUCAUUUAUAUUUAUUAACAGACAUUUGCACUUGCAAAUAAGGUAACUGCAUGUCUAUCUGGUUAAUUUACAUGAAAAUAGGUACAAAAAAAAUUGUGGCAAUUUUGGAAGGCGCCUUUAAUGGCACAAACUAAAUUAAGUGUACCCAUUCUCAUGAACAAAAACUUGUAUAAUGCUUUCCAAAGAAAAUGGAAUUUCAUAUAUGUAAACAGGUAGAUGUGCAGGGUGAGUUAUCAGAAUAUAAGAAGCCUAUUAUAGAAUGCAAAAAUCAAUGAAACUGCCUCCCAAAUAUAUAAAUGCGAUAGCUGUGAAUGCAGAUGUUAUAUUUGGAUAUUUGUGCAAUGAUCUCGCAAUUGUUUUAUUAUGUAUUUUCAUGUGUACAUAUUUGAUUUGUGUGCAUGAUCACAGCAUUUGUGUAUUCAAAUUAGAAGCCAAAUGACAUGAGUCUUUUUUUUUUUAUUAGGGGUCCUGGGAUUUUGAACUUUAAAAAAAAACAAACCCCAAGAAGUCAAGUCUUUAUUGAUCACAUUACUUAUAUAAAGACCUGCAGGGAGGUAUACAUGAGAGUUGCUUACUACACAGACAGAAGCACUUGCAAAUUUUAUAGGCACGUCAGUGGAAAUCUACUAAAUGUGAAAGCUCUAAUGUAUGAAAAGCUUUGAAAACACGUCAAGCUGAAACACGUCAACUCUUCAGAUUGCAGAAAACAAAACAGCACCGUGGUGUCUUUAAAGCUUUGUCCCGUGCUGUUGAAUUUCACUGUCAGAGGCAUUUCUGCCAUGCUUAGAAAGUGACAAGUAGGAGGACUGAAAAAUAGACGUGAAACUUAAUCAGUUCACCUCAUUUUUUAAAAUAAUUUCCUUAGAAACAUUGUUUACAAUACUAACUUCCAGCAUUAUGGGUGCAAUAUUGCAAACCGCACAAGCAAGCGAUUUUACUUGAUGCAGAUUUCAGUACCUGGAUGGAUGAACAUUAUGGAAAAGAAGGCAGUUUAUGGAAACCACUAAACUGGGAAAACUCCCCCUUUGCAGCAGAGAAAUACUUGUGAAAAAAUUAUUAAAACUUCUUAGUGUAAAUGAUAUUGGUUUUGGUAUGUCGGUGCAGUGCAAAUUGUUUGCUGAAAGCAAGCAGGCUGCUACCUGCCCUCCUGCCACCCAGUGGUGAGGCACCUCAAUAACCACCUACUGUGACAGCUAUCCUGGGAUAGCUGCGCAUCUGUCUAGUCCUGAUAGUGGUGUAAUCUGCACCGGAUUUAAAAAUUAAGCACAAGGUAAAUGAUGCCAGGAAUAGGCAUGUCUGAGAGCAGAGACAUGAAUACAACUUUGUGACAGAGGCAGAAAGUGAGGGCUGAGGAUACGCAGCCUGCCUGAGCAGGAGCUGGGCUGUCUUGAUACCCAUAGUCUAUGCUCAGAGUGUGAAAAAGAUACCCCAAAAGUUUCUCUCUGGUGCCGUGAUGGCAACUUGAUUGUUAUUUAUCACUUUUCUAUUUUACACACCUGGAGGAUCAUAUUUUACUCAGUAGAAAAUAAUAUUAUUAUAAAGGUAGGCUUAUUGCCAUGUUCUCUCCGUGCUUAUGUGCGUGGACGUCUACUACAACUAUGAAUUAUAGCUAUCAGUGGUAGCGUAAUUUUUGUGGAGGGAGGGAAUUGCUUCUAACUGCUAUAUGAUAUCAAUGAUAACCUCAGGGCUAGGGUUUCAAAAGCCUUCACAUGCCUAAAGACUCAUAGGUUCAUAGAUGUAGGGUCGGAGGGGACCUGAGCAGAUCAUCGAGUCCGACCCCCUGCCUGGGCAGGAACAAAUACUGGGCUCAAAUGACCCCAGCCACGUAGGCAUCAAGCUGCUUCUUAAAGACCCCCAAGGUAGGAGCCAGCACCACUUCCUUUGGAAGUUGGUUCCAGAUCCUAGCCGCCCUAACCAUAAAGUAGUAUCUCCUGGUGUCCAGCCUGAACCUACUCGCAAUCAAUUUGAGGCCAUUGUUCCUUGUUACCCAGGGAAGUGCUUGGGGGAGCAGGGUCUCACCCAUUCCCCUCUGGUCUCCCUUGGUAAGUUUAUAGACGGCCACCAGAUCCCCUCUCAGCCUUGUCUUGUGAAGGCUGAACAGGUUCAGGUCCCGUCGCCUCUCCUCGUAGGGCCUGCCCUGCUGCCCCCUGACCAUGCAAGUGGCCUCCUCUAGACCCUCUCCAUGCUGUCCACAUCCCUCCUGAAGUGCGGUGCCCAGAACUGGACGCAGUACUCCACCUGCGGCCUGAUCAGUGCCGCAUAGGGGGGGAGGAUCACCUCCUUGGACCUGCUUGCAAUGCAUCUGUGGAUGCACGACAAGGUAUGGUUAGCCUUGCUGACCACAUCCUCACAUUGGUGGCCCAUGUUCAUUUUGGAAUUGAUAAUGACUCCAAGAUUUCUUUCUGCCUCUGCGCUGACAACAAGGGAGUUCCCCAGCCUGUAGGUCUGCUGCUGGUUCUCCCUGUCCAAGCGCAGCACCCUGCACUUGUCAGUAUUGAAUCCCAUCCUAUUCACAAUCGCCCACCCCUGUAACCUGUCCAGGUCCAGCUGUAUCCUGUCCCUCCCUUCUAGCAUGCCCACCUUGCCCCAGAUCUUGGUGUCAUCAGCAAAUUUGAACAGGGUGCUUUUCACCCCCUCGUCCAAGUCGCUAAUAAAGAAAUUGAACAGUGCAGGCCUGAGGACCGAGCCCUGGGGGACUCCACUGCCCACAUCCCUCCAGGUCUCCAGGAACUAGUAGUAUUUUCAAAAUCACCAAACUCAUUGAUAAUUACGAGUUGAGCCCCUACCCUGCCUACUGCUUUAUGAAUGCCACAAGGAUUCCAGCAUCUGCUUAGCCUCCUCCAUGCCUCUAUUUAAUCACUCUGGCAGUGUAUAUAGACUACAUAUAGGUGUGCUCCAAGACUUUGGGAGCUGUGAUCCUUCCUCAUGGGUAACAGCUGCAUCUUCGGGGCGGUGUUAGCUUUUGUGGCUGAUGCUCCACAUGGAGGGUCUUUCUCAUGAACUGAGCUCUGGUACGACUGCAUUCAGGGCCUUCUGUGCAUAGGAUUUGGCAGGAGAGACGCCAGCAUUACCCUCCGAGUCAUUACAGGAGUCUCCAGAUCUCUUCACAAUUAAGUAGCAGGUUAUCUGGGUUGGAAUCAGCUAGACGAGAGUGGCACUGCAACCUGGCACAAGGUAUUUCAUGACACUCAGCUCUGAGGUACUUCUUGAUCGCUGAAUCAAUCAUUCAGCCGGCUGCGGAUGGGAGGAGCAUUUGACUUUUGAUACUGUCCUAGCAAUUAUCACGGGAUUUCUAGGCUACUUUAUCACUCCAUCCAGGAAGAGCGCAGACCGUCUAUAGACGCUUCCUCAGCCUGACGAGGGGUGUUUGUGCCCAAAAGCUUGCUAAGAAGAAUUUUUCCAACUAUUUGAGUUGGUCUAAUAAAAGACAUCGGAUUUACUCAAAGAACCUUGUCUGCCGUCAGUGAAUACACUGCAGAGGAUGUUCUGUACUGAAUAGUGAUGGAUCAUAACUAUGCAGGCUCCAGAUUUGCUAACUCUUGUCAUCCAAAGGUAAAGGUAAUGCAUCUUGGGCCUGUGUAAAGUAGAAAGAGAGUGAAUGGUGACAUGUUGCAGUAUUAGUUGCUGGCUUGUAGUGAUGCAGGUGAUGACAGGUCACCAGCAACUGCUGGUGUUUUCACAAAAACCAGCAAGAAACCCCUUUUGGUUUACUCUUGGCUUCAGGUGUUUUAAUAUUUCCCCUCCUCUUACAGGAACGUCUAUAGCAUUUGAACUAACUUCUGAGCCAAGCCUGAGAGCAGGUUUAAGGAUUAGUAGGAGUGGAGUUAAUGGGAUGAAUUUAAGCAGAGAAAGAAUUAGGCUGAAUAAUUUGAGACGUGCUGCUCCCCUCACGUACGCGAGCACAGCAAUCACUAUAAAGCAAUCUCGUUAUAUAAAAACUUUUAAGCCCAAGAAAUGUAGAAACAAAUCAAUGGAAAAGUAGGUUUUUAGAGUUGGUUUUUAAAAGCUUGGUGUAGUGGCAUCUGGCUGGGGCAUCCUGCCCCUGUCUUGGAGGAGCAGGGCUUGGUUUAGAUACCACAGAGUCUUGGCACAGCCCUUAGCUCGUGGGUGCAUUCCCAGGACGCAGACACGCGCACUGUUUGUCUAGCAGCUUAUCCCGGAAACUGGGACUCAGCCCGGCCUCCCAGCCCCGGGCUCAGUCCCGAGAGCUCACCGUGCAGACGUCCUGUCCGAGGUGCUCGCAGAAGGGGUGAGCCUUCUGGUCUGCGGCUGGUCUCUGCAGGGGGCAGCGCACAAGUAGGGCAAGGCUUUGCUCAGCGUUUCUAAGUGUACCAUUGCUCUCAUUUCGAGAGAGAGACGGGUGGUUACAGAGCAGGAGACAAAACAGCCUGCUUCCUACAGACAAAAGGCUUCGCUUAACUCACCCUUCCUGUGCCAGGCCCGGAGGUCAGCUUGUGUCCAGAGGGGAUCCCUCUGCCCCCUCAGAGCCCUGGUACUGGCAGCUCCCCUUGCAGCCUGAGCUCCUUCCCCUCUGUAACUUCCCAGUCCCUCAAUCAGGCAAUUUGGCCCUGAGCUUUCUCCAGGUGAUCACAGUCCUCUGCCAGGUGACUCUGUUGCCAAGGAAACCUCUCCCCUGACAAUCUGGCGCUCCUCCAUCGGAGCUAGCGUACUGUCAGGGUUUUUACAUUUCAGGGGUGCCGCCGUUCCAUCGAAGCCCCUCUGCUGCUCACUCCGGGCUGGUGCGUUUUGGAUGCUUUCAGACAGGAGGCAAAGACCAGCUUUACCAUGCAGAGGGAGUGUGCAGUCAGACACGCCUAUGCUGAGUUCAUCUGCUAAAACAGAAUCCUAACUGGAGAGGUGCCCCAAAUCUUCACGGCAGAAGAUGAGCUGGAUUUCUGCAGGAGCGAGCUCCUCAUCGUUGGGGUUGCCCUGGCACAAGCUUGGUUGCCUGCUGACUUCAAGUGCAAAGGCAGACGCUCCCAACACCGAGAGGUAGGUGAGCACAGAAGCCCAGGCGAAGGUCCGCAGGAGGAGGUCUUGAUUAAACCAGGGUCCGUCCCCUUCAUAACUUUGCAUGCUCACACAAGCUGCCUUGCACUGAAUUGACCACUUACUGGGCAGCCGGCAUGCAGAAUGCCGAGCUGGCUGAAUAUGAUCACGACAGCUCAGAUCAGCAAGCAAGCCGCGGCAUUUCUGAGCAAGCUGUAAGGAGCAGCUCAGCCUCACCAACAACCCAGCAAAAAGGGAACGGUAGGAAUCGAGCCUGGCGGUUGGGAGAGCAUGCCUUGCUGUUACCAGGUCAUUGCGAGGCAAGUAGCAGAAAACAUUGUCACUGAGCCCACUGCAAUCCCUUGGUAGGUGCCGGGGCCUGAGAGUGCUUUUAAUGAGAUAUUUAAAUUUAAACCGGUGCUGGAGGUUAUAUCAUGGGUAAUGUCCUGUGUUGGCAAAAGAGGGGGCUAAGGGAAAUUUCAUCUGCUGCUGAAGCCAACAAAAGGCACCAGAACGUCUUACUGGGUUUCCUGCUGAAGGACCAAACUGCAGGUAAUGUAUUCCUUGGUUUUUGUUAACAACAAGUAGAUGUCUGAUCUUCCUGCCAAGGCAGCCAGAUGAAAAUUAAAUUUGUGUCUAAGCGGUGCAGAACUUUCAAAUAACAGCCACAAAAGCAUAAGGCAUUUUUCCUUCCCCUCUUAUUUCCUUGACUCUUUCAAGAUAAGCAUGUGUGACUUGGCUGUCAGUGCAGCUGUAACUCAUCAGUGAAAAGAAAUCAGUGCCUAAUACAUAGAAUCAGAUAUUCCAAAAAGGCAAUGGCAAAAAAUCACCUUUUCUUUAUGUAGAUGAAUGUGUCUGUUCACAGAAUACCGUUUCUAUUAGCAAGGUACCGUAAACUUGCUGUCCAGGGUGGGUAGAACGAGCAUGCAAAAAUUGAAAUCAUUACCUAGGUAUUGUUAGGAUUAAGUUGCUUUUAUCAGGACAGACCCUGGAGUCAGGAACUCACAAGUCUGUAUCUUUGAUUUUGAUAAGUGGGAGGUGAAGGAGCUUGAAGCUCAGACUCAGGGGAGCUUCACAACAUGCUCCUGGGCUGCGUGGAGCAUCUAGCUAUCAAUACAGUGUUACACACUUCAGGAGAAAAGAAGAAUAAUCAAAUACUCCUUGGUAUGCAUGGCCUCAGCCUGGGAGGGAUGCUUUUGUCUUGUUUGUUUGGGUUUUUUGACUGCAGAUCUGAGUGGGAGAGAAGGGUUUCAGCUAUUUUUAAAUAAUAAUAAUAAUAAUAAACAAUCAAACCAAAAGCCUUUGGCAUAUUCAGAGGGUUUUGUACUCAGAUUCCUUCACUCUAGUAAAUCAUACCAGUAUUCAUCAGGUGAGUUGUUCCUCAUUGAACCUAAUAACUUUGCUUAUUUUCAAAUCUUUUACUGCUAGAAAAUGUGAAGGUAGCAUUGUUUGGCCUUGGCGAUUACGUAGCUCAGCGUUCCACGAAUGCCUGUUGGCAAACAAGGAACAAAACCAAGUACGAAGUGCCCGUUCGGACUAUCGAAAGAGCGGCCCCGUACUCCCUACAGUCUGUCAGGGUGGUCACUGGCACCGUAUGUUCCAAAUCCAUGUCUUUCCAGAAUUUUAAAAGAACAAUUGGAGUGGCAUUGUUCUGCAUUUGGACAUCCUCAGACUGAGCUUGUGGCCUCUUGCUUGCAGAAGGGGCAGCAAGCGCAAGUCAGGUGGGUGCAGUAACUCCUAAAAGCAUGAAUUGGGUCCCAAGGCACUGGGUAGCAUGAAACUCUCUGGGGUAUUGUUUGCCAAUGAGCAGUCUGAUAAUAAAUGCUCUUCUCCUGCAUUUCAUUAGGCCGGUACGGUGCACCGUCGCUCAGUAUCCUACCAAAUCAGCUCACGAGGGGGUGGAGAAUCGGGGAAAUGUAGGACUGGCGUUGAGCAUCUAAUUUUCCUUCCUAGGCUAUAAUACACGCAGGACAAACGUGGUUUGGAGACACCAUCUUUUGAUGACGUAGUAGGCUCUGAAGGCGAUUCUGGGGCAGCAUCUAGGAAAGAGACUUCCAUGCCCAGAGGUUCUUCCCAGUCUCUAGAGAUGGUCAGAUGGCUUUUUAAACUUCUAACUUGUGGAUAAAGAGCGUGGUUGUGGCUGUCGUGACAAAUUGGGUUUAAGGUAUUAAUAAAUACCUGGACACCUACAGAAGCUUUUGCUGGGAUGUGGGUGCAGGAGAGGCAGCAGAGGCAGGUUAGUAAUUGCAGCCCUGUGGGCUGUCCUUAAGCUGUGUCUUCCAAAGCCAAAGGAGGAUUCAGUUCCAAAAGUCAGGGAGCAAAUCCAGGAACUACACCAUGCCACUGUUUGCCAAUAUGUUGUCCACAGCCCCAGUGAAGAACAGGAAGUGCAAACUGUAAAGAUAGUGUUGCAAGGCGACACACUCUUCAGGCCAAAACUACCUUUUACUUUAGUUCUCUUUUCUUAAUUCUCAUGGCUCAGGUGCACAGCAAAAUAGGUAGAAUUCUGCAGUAGCCCAAAGUAUGUGUGUCUGAGGAGGGGAGUGGGGGGCGUAAAUCUCCCACAUUUUUUUAAAUGUUUGCAUGCGGUGACUUGGACAAUUGUCUUUGCAGUGCCUUAUGUUUGGGACCAACUGGCUAAGCAGCAGCUCUGCAGCAAAGGACCUGGGGUUACAGUGGACAGUCAGAUGGCUACGAAUCAGCAGCGUGCCCUUGUUGCCAAGAAGGCUAAUGGUAUACUGGGCUGCACUGGUAGGAGCAUUGCCAGCAGGUCGAGGGCAGUGAUUCUUGCGCACCCCACUACAGACAGGAUGUGGACACAUUGGAGAGACUCCAGUGGUGGGCAGUGACAAUGGUUGUGGGCUGGGGGACAGGAUUUCUGAGGACAGGCUGAGGGAACUGAGUUUAUUUAGUCUGGAAAAGAGAAGACUGAGGGGGAUUGAAUAGCAGCCUUCACCUCCCUGCAGGGGGGCUGCAAAGAGGAUGGAGCUGGGCUGGUCUCAGUGGGGGCAGACGACAGGACAAGGAGCAAUGGGCUCCAGCUGCAGCAAGGGAAGUUGAGGUUGGAUAUUAGGAGAAACUCUGUCAUGAGGACUGUAGUAAAGCACUGGGAUGGGUUACCCAGAGAGGUGGCGAAGUCUCCACCCUUGGAGGUUUCUAAGACCCAGUUCAACAAAGCCUUGUCUGGGAUGAUGUAGUUGGAGCUGGUCCUGCUUGGAGCAGGGGGCUGGACUGGAUCUGACCUCCUGAGCUCCCUUCAACCCUUGUUUUCUAUGAUGUAUUAUCUAUGAUUCUAUGUCGGCUCAAAGCUGAGAGCAUUUGUAAAACCAUGAUCCAGGAAAAUGAUUCUAGUAGUUUUCCUUUUCUACAGCAAAAAGACCAUUUCUUCAAAUCAUUUCCCUCUUUUUUUGUAACCCUUGUCAUGCUUUCAUUUUAUGUAGAAGAAGGGCUCAGAGGAGGGUAGCUGAUCAGGUGGGAGGCAGAGCACUAAAUACCACAUUACAGGAGGACAGGGCAGGAUGCAGAAAGCAGCCAGUUUUUAAGGCAUGAAGAGAUGGAAAGCUUUUGCAUGUUCCUGUAUAGCUGCCAUUUUGAGCAUGGGGUUGGAAGGGUAGAUCAGAACAGUGGCAGUUCCCAGCAGUAGGUUGUUUAAAUCUCCCAAUCCAGCUACACUGUGAUAUAUCAUACAAUAUUUACUAAAAAAUAUUUUCAGGUUUGAGUCUGCCCCUGAUUUAGUUUAAUCCUGGCAGUGACUUGGAGGACUUCUGGUCCUGCCUUGGAGUUCGCUGGGUGAACUCCUAGAUUUUGGGAUCCAUUUCUUGUCUGCAACACAAUUGAUAUCAUUGGGGGUGUUAUAAAUGGUGUCCACAAAAUCCAAGGGUCGAGUUGUAGGUUCUCUAGCAAACAUAUGGUCCAACUCCUCUCAGCAGCUGCAGAUCCUGUGGCGUCUCCCAGGGGCCCCAUUAUUGUCUUGAACACUCUUACAGCACAGCUGGAGUUCCUUCCCUGUAUUUUGGCAUUGGCUUGGGUUUCAAUUGUUCUCUUUUUUCUGCAUCUGUUCUGAUAACUGCUUGUGUAUCUCUCUGUUACAAAUGAGCCUAUACGUGCUGAGUAAAUGAGGUCCAGGAGCUCUGCAGAUAACUCCCACAGAAGCCUGAGACAUGACUGCUGAAUAAUCAGGAGCAUUGCAGAGGUAUAAGAACCACACAACGGAGGACCACAACUAGCUACAAGCCAACCUUUAAACGGGGAAGAGAUGUCCAGUCAGGAGGACCUUAGAGCAGUAGAGGCUCACAGUGAAAUGGAAAAGGACAAUGCAGGCACCCAGCAAAGCGGUGCAGGAUACCAGCGGGGUACUUGGAAAACGUGUAACAUUUGUUUGGGGAGGGAGAUGCAACUCCUCAUGCUUUUUUUAUGCGUAGACUCAUCCCACUUCUUAGUAAAUCUGCUUCCACGGUGGAUUUAGUAGUGCCAGAUGACUUUGUUUGUAGACACAAGACACUUUAAUGUGAAAUAACUAAUUAAACUGCGACAAACUCAAGUAUAAACAAGUCCUCAGGGUCAGGGCCUAAGUGUUCUUUUGUCAGAGCUAUUUGCUAUGACUAUCUAUCUUAGGUUUUCUGUUUAAAAAUAAGACCAUAGAAUGGUUCAUUUUCAUAGUUUCAUAGUUUCUAGGGUCGGAAAGGACCUGAACAGAUCAUCAGAUCCGACUCCCUGCCCUGGGCAGGAACGAGUGCUGGGAUCAUAAUACCCCAGCCAGAUAUCUAUCCAACCUCCUCUUGAAGACCCCCAAGGUAGGGGAGAGCACCACCUCCCUUGGGAGCCCAUUCCAGAGCCUGGCAGCCCUAACCGUAAAGUAAUGCUUCCUGAUAGCUUGAGCCUGAGCCUGAGCCGGCUCUCAAUCAACCUGUGGCCAUUAUUCCUUGUUAUCCCAGGUGGUGCCUGGGGGAACAGAGCCUCACCUAUUUUCCGCUGGUCCUGCAUGGUGGGUUUAUAAAUCCCCUCUCAGAUCCCCUCUCAGUCUUCUCUAAUGGAGGUUGAACAGGUUCAGGUCCCGUAGUCUCUCCUCGUAGGGCCUGCCCUGCUGUCCCCGGAUCAUGCGAGUGGCCCUCCUCCAGACCCUCUCCAUGCUGGCCACAUCCCUCCUUAAGUGCGGCGCCCAGAACUGGACACAGUACUCCAGCUGCGGCCUGACCAGCGCUGCAUAGAGGGGGAGGAUCACCUCCCUGGACCUGCUUGUGAUGCAUCUGUGGAUGCAUGACAAGGUGCAGUUAGCCUUACUUUUUAACACAUUAGUUAUUGACACUUUCAGUGGAAAUACAAAAGUCAAAUGCAAAAUCUUAUGGCCAUCUUUGAUGCUCAUUUAUUCACAGUUAGUGUACAUAUUAAGUCUCCAUUUGUAAAACGAUUGUGUUAAAUCCAAGUUCUUUCAGGAACGAUAUUGAUAUAAACACCUUUAGACGGGUAAAACUACCUCCACAUUAGGGGGUUGCACUAUAUCUGUUUCUGAACCCGUGUAACUGAAUCUGUACAAAAACUGUGUGGAGACAAACCUCACUAAUUAUACUCUUAUUAAUUAUACAGCAGUACAGCUAUGCGUGGGACUAUAAGAUAUACAGUAAUGCACAUUCAUAUCCUGAAGAGCUUCCAGUUAAGAGGAAACAGAAAAGGGAUGGGAAAAAAGAGCUCGGGACCAGGAAUGUGUUGAUAGGAGAACAAAGGGUGAAGGAGUCCAUGAAAGAAGUGUCUUUAAAAAGAGGUUUGAAAGGGAGGUGGCUGGAGUUUGGUCCAAGUCCUGGGGGUAGUGUGCACUACCCCUGUGGCGUGAUAUAAUGACCAGUCAUCCGCAGAUGUGGUUGUUUGAAAUGCCUCCACAUCAUCGUCAUGGAGUGGUUCUGCUCUCCUUGACUGUGUGAGCUUGGAACUCGGGCACAGCGUUGUCCAACAUGGCUGUCCAAAUGCUCUGAGUUGGUACAGAGUUAUAGAUCACCCUAAAUCACCUUUCAAGAAAGCACCCUGAAGAAGAAUCUGAUCCAUCUGCUACCAUCUGUAAGUUGGAGCUUGUUCUGAUGCCGUGCCCAUCACCAUCGGAGCUGCGCACCCAGCAGGUGAAGAUGGAGAAAUUCAGAAGAGUUUGGGAUGUCUGUGUUUCGUCUCUGUGUGGCCGUCUUGCUGCUCUCCAGAAGCAAGCAGCAUAUAAGCAGAAAAAUGUCAGAACCCAUCUUUGGAUGGGGAAGAGGAAACAGUUUAGAAGGUAAAGCCACCCAGGGUGACAAGUAGGUACACUACCCUACCCUAUUUUUCUAUGAUUCUAGCCCUCCAACAACUAUUCCAAUGGAGACAGGAAAGCUGACUUGCUGACAGUAUGUCAUUAAACCUGAAAGUCAAGCUUUUUCUACUGGGUUGGCAGCUCUAUAUAAUGAGUUUGUUUUACUCUGCCACCAUCUAUAAGUUGGAGGACUCCAGGUAGAAAUUAAGGUGCAAAAGGUAGUUGAAACUGGAUGGUCAGUUUAAUCUCUGAAUGAUUCUCAUUGCAAAGUAGUUUUCAUUCCUUUUCUAAAAAAUUCUGCAUUUUGACUCAGCUGAAGGACACGUACGUUCAAGUCUUCUUGUUCAACUCAUCAGUGAGCAAAAAUAUAAUUUUGAGAGGAAGGCAAUAAACUUCCAGAAUUUCUCCCCCCCCCCCCAAAUUUAUUCUUUCUUUGACUUCAGUUUUUGGUACUCAAAACCUCUCAGAAUAAAGACCUGUCUUAUUUCUUAUUUUAGGCUCUAAUCUCAGAUAUGCUAUUACUGGUAAGAAAAGAAAAGAAAGCAACUGUGUCAAUCAGGAAAUGUUAAUUUGUUCAAAUUGAAAUGUUUUGUUAGAAUGUGUUGACUUCAACAAAAUGUGAUGGAAAUACUUCAAGAUUAUUCCAAAUUAAAAUGAAGUACUCUGCUUCACCUUUGUCAGUUUA